rnacentral:lncRNA from 1 species
CUACACGCAAGGAAGCUGCGCAAAAUGUAGCCAUAUCCAGGUCCUCUACCCAAGGCAACGCCAGGUACUCCUGCACCGCCGCUGCCUUGACAGCGGCAACGAUGAAUCCCGCGCGCCGCGCCAAGAGGGAACCAAGGCUGCUCUUUUGCUAGCCUUGCCGAACCAACCCACUCUACGGCCACACCUCCACCUCUAAGUGAGUGGGAUAAAGACCGCGG